rnacentral:rRNA from 1 species
CACUCCUGCGGGAGGCAGCAGUGGGGAAUUUUGGACAAUGGGCGAAAGCCUGAUCCAGCCAUGCCGCGUGCAGGAUGAAGGCCUUCGGGUUGUAAACUGCUUUUGUACGGAACGAAACGGCCUUUUCUAAUAAAGAGGGCUAAUGACGGUACCGUAAGAAUAAGCACCGGCUAACUACGUGCCGGCAGCCGCGGUAAUACGUAGGGUGCAAGCGUUAAUCGGAAUUACUGGGCGUAAAGCGUGCGCAGGCGGUUAUGUAAGACAGUUGUGAAAUCCCCGGGCUCAACCUGGGAACUGCAUCUGUGACUGCAUAGCUAGAGUAGGGUAGAGGGGGAUGGAAUUCCGCGUGUAGCAGUGAAAUGCGUAGAUAUGCGGAGGAACACCGAUGGCGAAGGCAAUCCCCUGGACCUGUACUGACGCUCAUGCACGAAAGCGUGGGGAGCAAACAGGAUUAGAAACCCGAGUAGUCCC